rnacentral:misc_RNA from 1 species
UCCGGUUCUUCACCAGCAGUCUCCUUAGAGUCCCCACCAUUACGUGCUGGUAACUAAGGAUAAGGGUUGCGCUCGUUACGGGACUUAACCCAACAUCUCACAACACGAGCUGACGACAGCCAUGCAGCACCUGUCUCUAAGUUCCUUGCGGCACAAUCGCAUCUCUGCAAUCUUCUUAGGAUGUCAAGGGUAGGUAAGGUUCUUCGCGUUGCAUCGAAUUAAACCACAUGCUCCACCGCUUGUGCGGGCCCCCGUCAAUUCCUUUGAGUUUUAACCUUGCGGCCGUACUCCCCAGGCGGAGAACUUAUCGCGUUAGCUUCGAUACUAAACAGUCAAGCUGCCCAACAUCUAGUUCUCAUCGUUUACAGCGUGGACUAC